UGGAUCGUGCUGUUCUGCUUUUCUGUGUUGUGUUGUGUUGACUCUGUAAGUGUGUGCGUAGAAGCUAGGAUCCUAGGAAUAACAUCAAUUUUCCUGGAGCAACAGUUUAGUUCAUGAACCUUGUUUUUGCGUUGUGUUGUGUCGACUCUGUCAAUGUGUGUGUAGAAGUUGUGGGAAGAUCAACAUUUUCCUAGAAUAUUAGUCUGGUUCGCGACCUUAUAAGGCAAGGAAUUUAUAGCUGCCUAGGAAAAAUAGCUGUCACUUGGUGGGAGAAUGUAUUUUAAAUUGUAGUUGUAACGUCCCUUUCUAUUGGUGGAAAUUUUUCUAGAGUAUAGUAACUGCCAAUCACAGUUGGUGUUGGUUAGGUCUAUUUAGUAUGGACGAUCUCACAGCUGUCCACCUCAAGACGAGAAAAGCGAAGUGGCUUCACUCAGCGUCUGUCCUCCGACAUAAGCAGUACUAAAUAAUGUAAUCUGUUCAGAACUUGGUAUUAAUCUUGGCUUCCAUGCCAGCUUUAGGCUUUUUUUUAGUAUUUGGCUCUGGAACCUUUUGUUCCAGCAGCAUUUUUAGUCUUUUGCCUAUGUAGUCGCUUUAAUUAAGAAGAGAGAGAGAGAGUAUCAAAUUGUAACCUCACAAUGGAGAUUUUUCUCCUAUAACCGCUACUAAAGCGGUGUAAGUACGGGGAUCAACGUACGAAUCAUCAUUUCAUGGGUUCAUGAACGUGUGUCUUUAAGCCGCUGAGACGCCUCUGAAUCGAUGGCCGUCCUAGCUUGGGGUAUGCUGUCUCCUGUCCAUCUGGACGUGUAGAGCUCGAUCACCGAGCCUAGAUUCAAUUUGAAGAAACAGCUAUGAGUGUUGCAUCAAAGACCACCAAGUCUUGUGAAUGGCGAUUUUGCGUUUGAUUGAGCUGAUAGACGAUGGCUGCAGUGUUGAGUCUUGAUGUUGUCCGUGAUGCUGAUCUUCAAUAGCAGGUCUGGUGAGCCAACAUACUGUAAGGUUGGUGCCGAGACAAAUUGUCUAUCAUAUAUUAUUUUUUGAAAUGUUUGUCUAUCAAAAUUCAGUUAUCUGAUUAGUACUGGAAUUUCAGUUGUUUGAUAAUAUUUAA